rnacentral:tRNA from 1 species
UGGCAUGUAGUUCAAAAGCAGAACGCCCGGCUGUUACCCGGGAAGAUGCGGGUGCAAGACCUGCCGUGCCAGCCA